rnacentral:ribozyme from 12 species
UUUUUUUUUUUUUUUUUUUUUUUUUUUUUUUUUUUUUAAAAU